GGAGAGGUGUCCGAGCGGCCUAAGGAGCAGCACUGGAAAUGCUGUGUACGGGGCAACCCGUACCGAGGGUUCAAAUCCCUCCCUCUCCG
rnacentral:tRNA from 1 species